GUUAUAUGGUCAAGCGAAUAAGCGCACACGGUGGAUGCCUUGGCGGUCAGAGGCGAUGAAGGACGUGGCAGCCUGCGAAAAGUAUCGGGGAGCUGGCAACAAGCUUUGAUCCGGUAAUGUCCGAAUGGGGAAACCCACCCGCUUGCGGGUAUCCUGCAGUGAAUACAUAGCUGCUGGAAGCGAACCUGGUGAACUGAAAUAUCUAAGUAACCAGAGGAAAAGAAAUCAACCGAGAUUCCGUAAGUAGCGACGAGCGAACGCGGACUAGCCCUUAAGCUGAUUUGGUUCUAGGAAAACGCUCUGGAAAGAGCGGCCAUAGAAGGUGAUAGCCCUGUAUCUGAAAGGGCCAUUUCAGUGAAGACGAGUAGGGCGGGGCACGUGAAACCCUGUCUGAACAUGGGGGGACCAUCCUCCAAGGCUAAAUACUACUGACCGACCGAUAGUGAACCAGUACCGUGAGGGAAAGGCGAAAAGAACCCCGGAGAGGGGAGUGAAAUAGAACCUGAAACCGUGUGCGUACAAGCAGUAGGAGCUCCGCAAGGAGUGACUGCGUACCUUUUGUAUAAUGGGUCAGCGACUUACUGUUCGUGGCAAGCUUAACCGUAUAGGGGAGGCGAAGGGAAACCGAGUCUGAUAAGGGCGCAUAGUCGCGGGCAGUAGACCCGAAACCGGGUGAUCUAGUCAUGCCCAGGGUGAAGGUGCGGUAACACGCACUGGAGGCCCGAACCCACUCCCGUUGCAAAGGUAGGGGAUGAGGUGUGAUUAGGAGUGAAAAGCUAAUCGAACCCGGAGAUAGCUGGUUCUCCUCGAAAGCUAUUUAGGUAGCGCCUCAUAUGUAUCCUCUCGGGGGUAGAGCACUGUUAUGGCUAGGGGGUCAUCGCGACUUACCAAACCAUUGCAAACUCCGAAUACCGAGACGGACUGUAUGGGAGACACACGGCGGGUGCUAACGUCCGUCGUGAAAAGGGAAACAACCCAGACCCACAGCUAAGGUCCCAAAUUCACUGCUAAGUGGAAAACCAUGUGGAAAGGCACAGACAGCCAGGAGGUUGGCUUAGAAGCAGCCACCCUUUAAAGAAAGCGUAAUAGCUCACUGGUCGAGUCGGUCUGCGGGGAAGAUUUAACGGGGCUAAGCAGUGAACCGAAGCUUGGGGUGCAUACUUUGUAUGCGCGGUAGAGGAGCGUUCCGUAAGCCGUUGAAGGUGGAUUGAGAAGUCUGCUGGAGGUAUCGGAAGUGCGAAUGCUGACAUGAGUAACGAUAAUGCGGGUGAAAAACCCGCACGCCGAAAGCCCAAGGUUUCCUUGCGCAACGUUAAUCGGCGCAGGGUGAGUCGGCCCCUAAGGCGAGGACGAAAGUCGUAGUCGAUGGGAAGCAGGUUAAUAUUCCUGCACCUCGCGUAAGUGCGAUGGAGGGACGGAGAAGGUUAGGUGUACCAGGCGUUGGUUGUCCYGGGGAAAGGCGGUAGGUUUGGAUCUUUGGCAAAUCCGGGAUCCUUUAAGACCGAGCACCGAGACGAGCCUUUAUGGCRAAGUYACUGAUACCACGCUUCCAGGAAAAGCUCCUAAGCUUCAGCUUACGCAGACCGUACCGUAAACCGACACAGGUGGGUAGGAUGAGAAUUCUCAGGCGCUUGAGAGAACUCGGGUGAAGGAACUAGGCAACAUGGCACCGUAACUUCGGGAGAAGGUGCACCCUUUUUGGUGGCUCGUGCGAGCUAUAGCUGAAGAGGGUCGCAGUAACCAGGCCGCUGCGACUGUUUAUCAAAAACACAGCACUCUGCAAACACGAAAGUGGACGUAUAGGGUGUGACGCCUGCCCGGUGCUGGAAGGUUAAUUGAUGGGGUCAGCCGCAAGGCGAAGCUCUUGAUCGAAGCCCCAGUAAACGGCGGCCGUAACUAUAACGGUCCUAAGGUAGCGAAAUUCCUUGUCGGGUAAGUUCCGACCUGCACGAAUGGCGUAACGACAGCGGCGCUGUCUCCACCCGAGACUCAGUGAAAUUGAAAUCGCUGUGAAGAUGCAGCGUUCCCGUGGCAAGACGGAAAGACCCCGUGAACCUUUACUAUAGCUUUACACUGAACGUUGAGUUCGUCUGUGUAGGAUAGGUGGGAGGCUAUGAAACUGUGGCGCUAGCUGCAGUGGAGCCAUCCUUGAAAUACCACCCUGUCGUGCUUGACGUUCUAACCUGGGCCCAUUAUCUGGGUCGGGGACCGUGUAUGGUGGGUAGUUUGACUGGGGCGGUCUCCUCCUAAAGAGUAACGGAGGAGCUCGAAGGUACGCUCAGCGCGGUCGGACAUCGCGCACUGUGUGCAAAGGCAUAAGCGUGCUUGACUGCAAGAUCGACGGAUCAAGCAGGUAGGAAACUAGGACUUAGUGAUCCGGUGGUUCUGUAUGGAAGGGCCAUCGCUCAACGGAUAAAAGGUACUCCGGGGAUAACAGGCUGAUACCGCCCAAGAGUUCAUAUCGACGGCGGUGUUUGGCACCUCGAUGUCGGCUCAUCACAUCCUGGGGCUGUAGUCGGUCCCAAGGGUAUGGCUGUUCGCCAUUUAAAGUGGUACGCGAGCUGGGUUCAGAACGUCGUGAGACAGUUCGGUCCCUAUCUGCCAUGGGCGUUGGAGAUUUGAGAGGGGCUGCUCCUAGUACGAGAGGACCGGAGUGGACGAACCUCUGGUGUUCCGGUUGUCACGCCAGUGGCAUUGCCGGGUAGCUAUGUUCGGAAGCGAUAACCGCUGAAAGCAUCUAAGCGGGAAGCGCGCCUCAAGAUGAGAUCUCCCGGGGCACAAGCCCCCUGAAGGAACCAUGUAGACUACGUGGUUGAUAGGUCAGGUGUGUAAGUACAGCAAUGUAUUGAGCUAACUGAUACUAAUGAUCCGAGAGGCUUGACCAUAUAACCU
rnacentral:rRNA from 1 species